UCUAUGGGGCAGAACAGGGAUCUAUGGGGCAGAUCUAUGGGGCAGGACAGGGAUCUAUGGGGCGGAUCUAUGGGAGAUCUAUGGGGUGGAACAAGGAUCUAUGGGAGAUCUAUGGGGCGGAACAGGGAUCUAUGGGGCAGGACAGGGAUCUAUGGGGCAGAUAUAUGGGGCAGAUCUAUGGGGCAGAGCCCCACACUCACGUAGGUGUCCCUGAGCUGCAGCAGGGCCAGGCGGGCGGCGCUCAGCUCCGAAACGUCCAGCAGGUGAACGGCGGCGCGGUAAUCCUCCUGCCCCACACACACUGCCCCAUAAGUGACCCGCGGGGACACAUAGCGACCCCAUAGGGACCCAUAGAGACCCAUAGAACCCAUAGGGACCCAUAGGGACCCAUAGAACCCAUAGAGACCCAUAGGGACCCAUAGGGACCCAUAGAACCCAUAGGGACCCAUAGGGACCCAUAGAUCCCAUAAAGACCCCAUAGGGACCCAUAGAAACCCAUAGAGACCCAUAGGGACCCAUAGGGACCCCAUAGAGACCCACAGAACCCAUAGGGACCCAUAGGGACCCUAUAGACCCCAUAAAACCCCAUAGAGACCCAUAGCGACCCAUAGAACCCAUAGAGAACCAUAGGGAACCAUAGAGACCCAUAGAUCCCAUAAAGACCCCAUAAAGACCCAUAGGGACCCAUAGGGACCCACAGAACCCAUAGGGACCCAUAGGGACCCAUAGAGACCCCAUAGAGACCCCAUAAAGACCCCAUAGAGACCCAUAGAUCCCAUAGAGACCCAUAGAGACCCCAUAGACCCCAUAGGGACCCAUAGAGACCCAUAGAGA
rnacentral:lncRNA from 1 species